GAUGAACGCUGGCGGCGUGCCUAAUACAUGCAAGUCGAGCGAACGGACGAGAAGCUUGCUUCUCUGAUGUUAGCGGCGGACGGGUGAGUAACACGUGGAUAACCUACCUAUAAGACUGGGAUAACUUCGGGAAACCGGAGCUAAUACCGGAUAAUAUUUUGAACCGCAUGGUUCAAAAGUGAAAGACGGUCUUGCUGUCACUUAUAGAUGGAUCCGCGCUGCAUUAGCUAGUUGGUAAGGUAACGGCUUACCAAGGCAACGAUGCAUAGCCGACCUGAGAGGGUGAUCGGCCACACUGGAACUGAGACACGGCCCAGACUCCGACGGGAGGCAGCAGUAGGGAAUCUUCCGCAAUGGGCGAAAGCCUGACGGAGCAACGCCGCGUGAGUGAUGAAGGUCUUCGGAUCGUAAAACUCUGUUAUUAGGGAAGAACAUAUGUGUAAGUAACUGUGCACAUCUUGACGGUACCUAAUCAGAAAGCCACGGCUAACUACGUG
rnacentral:rRNA from 1 species